UGGGGCUUCAUGUACAUGUAGUCAUGUAGCAUUAGAUUAGAACCAAUAUCUAUCUAUUUAAAACAUGUAAUGAAAACUAGAUAGCGUAAAUUAAAUUGAAUUUUCGAAUCUUCAGUUUGAUAGAAAGAUGGGUAACAGCCUGCUGCCUAAGAUCUUCAUUUUUUGUAUCUUUUACAUCCUAGCCGGUGUAUCCGGCGAUGAGUUGUUUCAGAUGGCUCUCAAGGGAUACGAAAUUGAGUGCCAGGGCCAAGCACGGUGUGCCACCACGGGCCGACUUGAGGGAACGGUCCAAGGCGAUUUCUCAAACUACCACGACGGCUGUUUCCUGUUUUACUUGCAACACUGUGAGAAGGGCAAAAACUGUUCCCGGGACUCGGUGGAUUGGCAAAAAGAGUGCUUGUUCUCAGGGGUCUGUUUUCUCAACCUGUGUGAUAUAACUGCAACCCAAAGAUGUAACUGCACACAAGACAGCCACCUUUUGAAAGUCAAUUUCCAUCCCCUAAUUCCUGAAUCUUGGUAUCGGCUCUCAGCGUACAGAUAUAUUGUAAACCCUCGGCGUAUUGUCACCGAGUCCACGGAAUAUGCCUAUAAUGUCAGCAAUACUUUCUAUGCUAAAUAUCAAUCUGGUUCCCGUCAAAACUGAAGGUACCCAUUGCAUGCAGGCAUGUAUUCCUGUGUGUGGCACGUUUCUUUAUUAGAACCAAGAUAAAUGUGUGCAUUGAAUCAGUGUUGAUGGUUAUGGGAAAACUAUACAAAAGUGUGAUUUAUUCAAACGUGAUUGUUUAGCUAUAGCUAAUAUAUUAACCCUGUGAUUGUUAAGCUGGGUCAAAGCCAUCAUGUACAAUGUUUAGAAAAGUUGAAUAAAAUGUGAUUGUUGGAGUUCGUCUAUUGUUGUUGCUUGAAGUGUUUUCUAAUGAACCAUGUGAAUAUUUAGUUUGAUGAAAUAUGUGGUUUUUCGACGGUCUAAUAAAAUGAUGUUAUUUAGUGUGUUUUCUAAUGAAUCAUGUGAAUAUUUUGUUUGAUGAAACAUGUGAUUGUUUGAAGAGGUCUAAUAAA